rnacentral:rRNA from 1 species
GACGAACGCUGGCGGCGUGCUUAACACAUGCAAGUCGAACGGAAAGGCCCUGCUUUUGUGGGGUGCUCGAGUGGCGAACGGGUGAGUAACACGUGAGUAACCUGCCCUUGCCUUUGGGGUAACUUCAGGAAACUGGGGCUAAUACCGGAUAGGAGCUCCUGCUGCAUGGUGGGGGUUGGAUAGUUUCGGCGGUUGGGGGUGGACUCGCGCCUUAUCAGCUUGUUGGUGGGGUAGUGGCUUACCAAGGCUUGGCAGGGUGGCCGGCCUGGGCGGGUGACCGGCCACACUGGGACUGAGAUACGGCACAGACUCCUCCGGGACGCAGCAGUGGGGAAUAGUGCACAAUGGGCGGAACCCUGAUGCAGCAACGCCGCGUGCGGGAUGACGGCCUUCAGGUUGUAAACCGCUUUCGCCUGUGACGAAGCGUGAGUGACGGUAAUGGGUAAAGAAGCACCGGCUAACUACGUG